rnacentral:tRNA from 1 species
GUCCAGGGAUGGGAAUCGAACCCACAGUGUUCCGCUUACCGGGCAGAUGCCACUAGGCUACCCUGGA